AAAAGUAAGGAGUAAGUAUUCCUGAUGACUAUGAAGAAUAAUCGUGAGACACUUGAGCACACUAAUGAAUUUUUUAAUGACAUCAUUCCAAGUGUGCACGCUUUGUUGCAAUCUGAGAGAAAUCAGAAUAUCAAGAAUCGGGGCUUCCUGAGUUACCAUAAUUUGAUGCUUGAGCCCUUUUGGUCAUUGGGUGAUUUGAGCCCCUCAACCUUCCAUGCUGUUCACUGCUGUUUCAAGCAGGAACACCACAGUACCUCUUUUAGGUAGGAGUGAAGCAGAAUUUGUUUUCAUAACCCUGGCGUAAUUUUUACAUCAUUCAGUGCUGCCAGGAGAGAGCACUAGAGGCCUCUCGCCAUGUUGAACAGUUGUGUUUCUCUUAAUUCAGAGAAUUUUGAAAGUGAAUCUUGUGACAAUAUUUCUCUUCUGUAAAGAAAAGUCAUUCAUUGAGCUGUUUGGCUUGAAAGAUUUUACACUUUCUUCACUUUUUCAUUGUCAUCCAGUCACAGUUCCAUUGUCUCAAAACCAAGAUAGUUGCUCUGAAACACUGACACCUUCCACCGUUCUCUUCAUCCUUUAUUUCUGUAUGUGUUUGGCUUUUCUCUUUGGCCCAAACUGGAUCGACUGUUUUUAAUGAUACAGGGACUGACUGUGGGGUAUGCUCUGUUGAAAAUGCUUCUUUGUGACACAUUGUCCAGUGUUUGUUUGGAAAGCCUAGCACACAUUUUGUUUCUAUAUUAUUUGCAAAUCAGGGAAAGGAAAAAUCUACAAAGAACUUGAAAGGUGCUAUUUUAGUAAACACUUCAGAAGUUUCAGAAGUAAAUUCCCUCUAUUUCCUACAGGAUUUCCAUUGUACACUUUAGCUUUGAAGAAAAACAAAUCUUUCAUGUCUUAGAAUAUUCGAUUUAUAUGUUAUCUACUGAGUGAUCUUCUUUUUGGGAAGAAGUCAUGAAUGAGAAUGUUUUGCUCAGGUUCACCUCUCCCUUAAUGAAGUUGAUACCUGCGAAGUGAAAUCGAAGUUUGAAAAACAGCCUCUGCAGAAAGAAAAUUCUCAGCUUAAGAUCCCAAAGAAUCAGGAAGCUGGGACUGAAAGAAUGGGAGCAGGUGGAAGGGGAGAAGCAGCUGUCAGCCACAGAGGAGAAAGUGAAAUUCGCUGCAGAAGAGCUUCGGAACUACAAGGCGCUGUGAGGUUUUUAAAAUUCUAAACCGUUUGGUGUCCAGUGGAGGCUUGGGUGUGGUAACUCUUAGUGAAACAGAUUCAUCUCGAUCUUUAAGACUGGAAGUCAUCCAAAGACAGAGGCUUCCAGAGGAAUUCAUGAGGCACAAACCAAUGGCAUAAGGACCUGACAAGGAGAUACCUCCAUGGAAAGAUUCAGGCUUGUUUCCGGGAAGAAACCCUGACAGAAAUUCAGAAGAACGGGAGCUGCAUUCCAUUAGGACUUGAAUACAUGAAAUGUUCGUCUCAGGACCUUCUAGAAGAAUGAGCUGGGACCCACUUUCCGAGUCCUGCUGGAAACAGAGACCGAGAUAUUGCCCAGGUGUCUGAAUGCCUGCACUAGGGUACCUACCUCCUUUUUGGAUAGACUGUAUUCCUUUUCCAUGUUUUAGCUGCACCUGUGACACAGGACACGAGAGAACGUGCUCAUGUGAACACAAAUGAAGGACACCGUGGGGACUUGCCACACAGAUCCCAGCACGUGGACUGUGUACAGAGAAUUUCUGCUGAAGCGCUAUGUCUGCUUUUCUGCAUACGGCCCCAUUCCUUCUCCACAAGAGACGCCUGUACCCACCCAUGAUGGGGGAAAGGACAUGAGAUCCUGAGAAACUUGAGGAAUGUGGUAAUGGCAGCAGACACAUUCCCCUUGCAUCACAAUGGUCUCUGGUACCGCCACUGCACCUUGGCCCAAGACCUAACAGCAACAAAAUAAGGUUCAUCUCCUAGCCAGAAUCAAGAAAGGAAGACACAGCAGCCACACUGUUCCCACAGAGGUGAGGCCUGGAAGGGGUCACCCAGGCCAGGAGACCUCUGUUUGGAGUGUGCAGUCAUCCUCCUCUCAUUAUUUCCUGAAACUCACGGAAAAACCUUAAGGCAGCCUCUUUGCUUCCAUCCCGUUCAGUCUUGGAUACAGAAAAAUAAUGGACUUCUAUAAGAGUUGCAACACCACGUCUUCUACUAGAUAACAAACAGUGCAGGCGUCAUCCAUGGAAACACCCAUAAAAACGCAAGUCAAAUGACCACACCUGUAUUUCAAGUAAGCGACCUCCCUGUCCUGCUCCACCAUCUCCCUGUCCCAGAUCUGAGUCUUGAUCUGGGGGAGAAAAAACACAUCCACUUUCAGUCGGAAGGUGGUGCCAGACUGCGCACCAAAGAAAGAGGAGGAAACAAGAAAACACUUACCUAGUUGUCCUGAGCAUUCUUCUCAUGAACUGCGAGCUGAAAAAGCCAACAAUGAAAAGCCCGUGGUUAGGGAUUCCAAGGGCCACUACACUCACCCGCGUGAGGUGCUAAGGGUUCAGUAUGUCAGGCAGAACUCAGGUUACUGUUCCCGUGUUUGUUCAAUUUGUUGCCUGUGAGUUACAAUUGCUCUUGUCAGAUAAGGCCCAAUAUUGGGUAUGAUUUUAAAUAAGCUGCCCACGUUCCCAACAACCUCAUAUCUGUCCCCUGAUACAAUUUAUUCUUACACAUGAAACACUUUGCCCAUGAUUAUCAACGUACAGUAGGAUCAAAGCUAUUGUUACAUCCUUUCCUUACUCAUUAUUCCAUGCCUGUAGGGUUCAGAGUUCAUAGAAUUCCUUCCCACUUUCAAUCUUUCUCUAAUUCAUCAUGUGACAAGUGUCUUUUAUCAUAAAGAUCUAGUCUUCUAUAACUUAUAUCCUCACCAUGUUUCCCAGGGUUGCAAAGACAAGGGCCAUGCAAUGGCACUACCAUGUUGAUGGGUAUGAUUCAUUGUACGACACACAGCUUUCCUACAGAUGAUGACAAUUGACACCACCCCCGAGGAAUGUUAGCAUGGACAAAGUUUCCACAGAGUCUGGCCACUACUUGAGAUCUGCAAAUGUUUAGAAACUUAAUUGUUUUGUUCCUUGUAAAACUUACCUUUUUUAUCUGUUAAUGCUCUAUGCAUAUGUUGACUUUAAACAUUGCAAAAAGAUUAAAAACCAAAAAAUGAACAGCGGUUUCAUGAGCUGUUGGUAAUUACUAGCUGAA